rnacentral:rRNA from 1 species
GACGAACGCUGGCGGCGUGCUUAACACAUGCAAGUCGAACGGAAAGGCCCUGCUUUUGUGGGGUGCUCGAGUGGCGAACGGGUGAGUAACACGUGAGUAACCUGCCCUUGACUUUGGGAUAACUUCAGGAAACUGGGGCUAAUACCGGAUAGGAGCUCCUGCUGCAUGGUGGGGGUUGGAAAGUUUCGGCGGUUGGGGAUGGACUCGCGGCUUAUCAGCUUGUUGGUGGGGUAGUGGCUUACCAAGGCUUUGACGGGUAGCCGGCCUGAGAGGGUGACCGGCCACAUUGGGACUGAGAUACGGCCCAGACUCCUACGGGAGGCAGCAGUGGAGAAUAUUGCACAAUGGGCGGAAGCCUGAUGCAGCAACGCCGCGUGCGGGAUGACGGCCUUCGGGUUGUAAACCGCUUUCGCCUGUGACGAAGCGUGAGUGACGGUAAUGGGUAAAGAAGCACCGGCUAACUACGUGCCAGCAGCCGCGGUGAUACGUAGGGUGCGAGCGUUGUCCGGAUUUAUUGGGCGUAAAGGGCUCGUAGGUGGUUGAUCGCGUCGGAAGUGUAAUCUUGGGGCUUAACCCUGAGCGUGCUUUCGAUACGGGUUGACUUGAGGAAGGUAGGGGAGAAUGGAAUUCCUGGUGGAGCGGUGGAAUGCGCAGAUAUCAGGAGGAACACCAGUGGCGAAGGCGGUUCUCUGGGCCUUUCCUGACGCUGAGGAGCGAAAGCGUGGGGAGCGAACAGGCUUAGAUACCCUGGUAGUCCACGCUGUAAACGGUGGGUACUGGGUGUGGGGUCCAUUCCACGGGUUCCGUGCCGUAGCUAACGCUUUAAGUACCCCGCCUGGGGAGUACGGCCGCAAGGCUAAAACUCAAAGGAAUUGACGGGGCCCCGCACAAGCGGCGGAGCAUGCGGAUUAAUUCGAUGCAACGCGUAGAACCUUACCUGGGUUUGACAUGGAUCGGGAGUGCUCAGAGAUGGGUGUGCCUCUUUUGGGGUCGGUUCACAGGUGGUGCAUGGCUGUCGUCAGCUCGUGUCGUGAGAUGUUGGGUUAAGUCCCGCAACGAGCGCAACCCUUGUUCACUGUUGCCAGCACGUUAUGGUGGGGACUCAGUGGAGACCGCCGGGGUCAACUCGGAGGAAGGUGGGGAUGACGUCAAGUCAUCAUGCCCCUUAUGUCCAGGGCUUCACGCAUGCUACAAUGGCUGGUACAGAGAGUGGCGAGCCUGUGAGGGUGAGCGAAUCUCGGAAAGCCGGUCUCAGUUCGGAUUGGGGUCUGCAACUCGACCUCAUGAAGUCGGAGUCGCUAGUAAUCGCAGAUCAGCAACGCUGCGGUGAAUACGUUCCCGGGGCU